CCUGCUCCAUCUCAUCUCUGAGGCCUCACAACAGACUCAGGCUCUGGCUGCCCCCUGCCCACCCUUGGUAAAGCAGGAGUUGACAUGCACAAUGCCAGUACUCUUUGCCAGCAUUUUAACAAAUGGCCUCUCAUAUGCCCUUGGGCUGUCACAAGCCCUCUGCUUAUUGUAGAAAUAAGUGGGAGAAGAAGGCAGUGCUGCUUUUCCAACAAAUGCAUGUUAAAUGCUCCUGGAAAUGUCUAUACUUCCACUCAUUCAUUAUUUGAGAGCAGAUUAAUGUGACACAGUGUUUUUGGGGAAGGGAGAUGGAACAUCAUGCUUAAGUGCACAUGUUUUUUAAAUUCCUUCGCAGAAACUCAGUGCAGCUUGUAUAUCUUAAAAAAUUGACAUGUUUGUGUCACCCUAGGGGUGAGUCUUUUCCAACAGGAACAAGGUAGCAGUAUGCUGGACGGCUUAGUUAGAACUGAUCACCUCCAGUGUCCCUUGUAGCUUGUAAUGUAGGAGUUCUCUAUGCUGGAGUCAUUCCCCAUCCAACAAAGAGAUAUUAAAACCCCAAACCCAGAAGUUUACUAUUAGUUGUAAGUCUUUUGUACUAAGCAUUUGCUUCCCCCCUUUUUUUCUGGUGCAUGACCUGUGUGAUGUCCCAGCUCCCACGGCUGUGGUGCUACUUUACCUGGAGACCCUGUCUGGGGGAUUUUUGCAUUCAUGCUUCUCUGCAGACUCCCCUCCUUCCAUGUGGUGGGACAGAAGAAGAAAACAUUUUCAUUCUUCAUCACAGGGUGCAUCAGAGGUCCAGGUUCUUCUGAUCUGUCCCUCUCUCUAUGAAUGUGGCUGUGAUGGUUUACUUUCCAUCACCUGGCUCAAGCCCCACCGAACACCUAUGGGGCAGGUGGGGGAGAGGGAAGGUUCUGCAUCUUUGCUCAGCUGUGCUUCCAGGGUUUUACCCAAGCAGGGAAGGCAGCCAGCCAAAACUGUCAGCCUGAGCUGGAAAGAGCAAAGAUGGGAAAAGUUGGCAGGAGAUUUCAUGCCAAAAUUUGAAGUACAAUAAUUUACCAGAGUUGCUAGCAGCCCUGACAGAAAUCAGGCCCCAAUUAUCUGCAGUAUUGUGUGAGCAUAUAUAUUGUGUAUGUGUGUAUAUAUAUCCACCAACAUAAUGAGACUCUGCUUAUCCUCAAGAGUCAGCUAUGUACGUAGACAAAGGUAGAAGAAAGGAAAUAAUAUUUCCUAUUUUUCAGAUGGGGCAUUGAAUUUUGUGUAGUUAUUGUGAUUGUGUAAACGAGGUAAUUACACAAACGUGGUCUGCUGUAGGAUUGCUGAGUGCAUUUUUUGUGGUCAGUAUUUUUAGGGACUUAAAAUUGGGAGCAUGAAAAUAGAUAGCCGUUAAAAUAAAUAAUCUCUAUUUUAAAAAUGACAUUAAGAAGAUAAGUAGUACACAAUUUACUGGCGGGGUAGGGGCUAAGGGAGGGGAACAGAACAUCACUGACGGUUUCCUGGCAAAACAAUUUUAAGACACAAGCACCAAGCUGACACACAGAUAAACAUUUUAAGGGCACUGGUGUAAUGAAGAAUUUGGGUGGAGCUGCCUGCUUCCAACUGCUUGAACAAAGAAACUAACAAAGAAAAAAUUACUAAUUUUAAUAGUAAUCUAAACAGAAAGUUAACAAAACAUCAGACUUAGUAUCUUAUAAGGAGACUUAAGCAUGAUGUUGUGGAAGUGCUUGCCAACCAACUGGGGUUGGAUGUAUUCUCUACUCGAGAUCACAGAUGCCUGCAUGUUUUCUUUCAGUCCUGUGUAAGGUGUACAUGCUGAGGAUGUAACUAAACAAGUACAUCAGCUUUGUAAUUUUGAAAGCAUUUUGAAUAGUAAGUACAUUUCAGUUAGGAGCUGUGGUAAUUAAGAAGAACAAUUAUUUGAGCUAGUAAGCUCAAGUAAUCUUGAACUACUAUGUUGCAUAUAUGCACUAGGGGUGUCACUCUCAGAAGUCUACACAGGAGCAUCUUGGGCAUUUCCACUGAUUCUUUCUCACUUGUGUAUGUUAGAAAGACUGAACUAGUGACUGGUAGGUCAUUGUCAGCUCUCCAUUCUUGCCAGGGCAAUAACCCAAAAGGUCAUCAGCAAAAAAAUCCAAACCAGAGCCAGGCAAUGAGGGGGUUGCCAAGCAUUCAAGGAUUUUAUGGUCAAAACUGCCGCAUGUGUGAGCACAACAUGUGGUGUUGCAACACUGUGAGUCUGUGUUUCUUAAUGCACUUACUGAAAUUAGUAAGGACCACCACUGUCUAUUUAAAAUCUCUGUGUCAUAGGCUGACUCUCUACUUCUGUGUCAUCAAGGUGUCAGCCAAAAAUUCUGAGGUGGCAUUAAGAUUUGCUAUGGAAGAAUCCCAAAUAUGUACAGCUUUUGGCCCCCUUUUGGGAAGGAGUGGAGUACAGUACAUGUAGUUGGCCUUUUUUAUUUUUAAUGACUCAUAUUUUGGACCUUAUUCCUGUUUGUCUUUCAAUGCCAAACAGAAAUUACUAUUUAGGUCAAACUGCUGUUGUGGUACUAAUAGAAGCAGACAUCAGUUUUGUCGAUGGAUUUCACAGCUAUGCAUUUUGCAGAGUGAAGUUCCCUCUCUAGGCUACUUCUGACAUUUAGCUGUGAUGGUGUUAAUAGCAGCUUCUAGUGCUGCCUCUGCCUUUUUACUUGCAUAUGCUCAGCUGGGGAAUAUAGCUGGGAAGUUACCUUUCAGCUAUAGCUUUUUUUUUUUCCACGCAGACUCUGAGUACAGCAUCUUCUGCUCCUAGAUCCAGCUGUCAGGCCGCUUCAUGCUGCUGCUGCAUGGUCCCUGCUCCUCCCUUUUCAGCUCUUCCUGUGCACUGGUGUGAUCCAGCCUCUUGGCCUGUCCCUGGCUGCUGCCAGCUUUGCUAUGUUCUGCUUCUUUUACAGGGUUGUUUUCUAACUCUGACUCCCCUGGCUCUUGCUUAAUGCUUCCUGAUGAGUGACAGCUUUGGAGAGGAACCUCAGCUCAUGCCCUGAAGUUUUCAGCCUGUGUUCUGGUCCAUGCCUCGACUCAGAUGCUGGUGUGUCUCUGCAGUGAGGUUUGCUGCACUGCUGCCCUGGAACCAGUGCCUCAGGCGUGCAUGGAAAUGGGAGACCUGCUAGCUUAGGUGCCAGAAGGCUGGCACCAGCAAAUGGGGCUGCUGCAAGCCUCUCAUCCCUUCCCAUCAGGUAACAGAGUGAACUGGAGUAUCUCUGCAGUACAAAGUUGACACAAUGUAAGAGCCACCGUGACCCAUUAGAUGGUCCUGAGCAUGGGAAUUGUUAGAUACAAUUAAAGAGGGGUGGGCUGGUUUGGCUGCCUACUGGUGUAACUCUGUGUGUGCAAGACUUCACUGAAUUUCCUCCAGUUCUCAUCUGAGUAUUGGCUCUCCACCUUCAACUCUGAGCAUCGAGAUUUCUGAAGAUGGAUCUUUAAACCAGUUCAUGCACAGAUGUUCAGACCCUGAGCUACAGCCAAAGAUAUGUGCUGAGAGAGAAAGUACAAAAAUGGAUUUGAGGUACCUUUGAAUUUCUGCAUUAUCUGUAUUUGCUUGCUCUAAUUAAAUAAUAUUUAAAAUUGCAGAAUAGCCAAACGUGAUUUGGUUAGCAGCCCCGUGGUCUCUACUACCAGCUAAUGUCUAGAAGGCUGAAAAUACCUCUUAAGGCUACUAUUUUCUUCCUUUCCAUCCUCAGAUUUUUCUGCAGCUACAGUGAUGUGGUAUCCAGACUUGGGAUUAUUCCUUCAUCCUUCAUGCAAGUGGCUGCAAAGGGCAUGGAGGGAAUGGAGAAGACAGAGCUGGUCAGAAACUAAUUCUGUCUCUUCCCCAUGUAGGCCUUAAUAGUAAUGAAGGGCCUUGGCAGAGAGGAGAGCAGACAAAUAUCCUGUGUGUGUGGAUGAUAUCCCUGCUCACAGCCUAAAUUAACUGUCAGAGAUAUCUAGGCUCCAAAACAAGUAUUUCCAGUGCAUGGGAAUCACCUUACAUGUGAUCAUCUUACUGCUGUGAUCACAGCACAGGAGAAACAAGGUGCAAACUUCUCAGCAUCACCAGAGCAGCCUGGUGGCUGUCUGGUGGGAAGAGCAAUCAUACACUGCUCAGUGCCCCAGAGAGGAGGUAAGGCCUCCAGAUGCAGCAAUGACCUGAGCCUAGUGCUCAGCCCUGUUCAGCACUGCCCCACAGCUGAGCCCUUUCCAUCACUCCCAGCCCUGAGCAGCCAUCUGUCUGUGGCUGCUGCCAUUGAGUUUGCUAAGUCAGUGAGGACUUCUCCCCAUAAAUUCUCACUUUGCUUCUGGCAUGACCUGACCUGUUUUUUCUCCCCUGCCUUGCAGAACCAUCCCACCUCUCCCUGUUAUGUUUCCUUUACUCUUCCUACAAUGUUGUCAGAAAGGUAUAUGAGCUAUCCAAUUACCUCACCCCUUGGUGAGGGAAGUUGGAGUACAGAGGUCAAUAGACUGGGAUCUCUUUCUGCCCAAACUGGUUCACCUGGAUAUUAGUUCCCAACCAGUCUUCCUGUGAGGUGGGGAAGGGGCAAGGCAGGAGGAAAAUUAGGAGAAAUCAGCAACAGGAGGGCUUGUUCUUAAAGAAUUAGGGGAAGAUUUUUCCAGGCAAGGAGUCUACAUAUCUGUCCCUGGGAGCUGGGGUGAUGCACAGCUGAUGGACAGCCAUCCCUUUCUCCUCUGUGUGCUCCCUGUUCCCAGGACAGUUUUAGAGCACUGACAUCCAAUCAAGAGGAAGAGGUGGAUUAGGGGGAAGAGGUAGCAAGAAAUCAGCAGAGUUCUGGCAGCACCUAAUGAGUGUAUAGCAUGGGAUAGCAGUCAACACUCCUCCUUCCACGGGUAACAGCCCUCUAUAAAGUUCUGGUCUUCCACUGCUAUGCUCAUUGGCCAGUGAAAAUCCUGAGCUGGAAGAGACCCCUAGGAGCCAUUGGAUGCACCUGUUACCUGUGUUUUCCAGAGAAAGGUUUCCAGACUGGCUAUCAAGAAGGCUCUUUCCCAUCUCCAGUGCACUCAGACCCUGGUCUUAGGAGCUCUCCCUGCAAAGACAAGGCUCAGCCUAAUACUUUUAAACACCCCUGCCAGUGUUUUUUUCAGAAAUCAUAUUUAUGACAAUGUACACAUUAGACACAGAUUGCUUAAUUUGCAUAGGUGCCAGACACAGAGAUGCACAAAAUUUGGCAGGUAAGCCCAGACACAGAGGGUGUGAGUGUUGCAAGAGGGAGGAGACAGGGCCCUUGUUUGUGUUCCUGUGAGGAUUGCUGCUGGCAGAGCAAGAUGGGUUUAACUGGAAACCAAAAGGUUUCAGAUCAAAGCUGUGAAAAGGCUUUAAAACACAUUCUGCUCUCCUCCUGCACUGCACCAGCACUCUCAUAUUCUUUGCUUUAAGCAAAAACUUUGACUGUGGUCAAAUAAUUAUGCGUGUGAAGAAGGUGCCACACGAGGCAGCUACAGCAGGUUUUGGCAAAUCAGGUAAGUGUUUAGCAGCGAUGGUUACACGUUGUCUGCCUGCCAUCUCCCACGCCUCACUGCCAGGGCCCUUGCCCUAGCAGUGGCCAAAGCAGGGGCUUGCUGCCUCACCCUGCACAGGCCUUCUGUGCCCUUCCCAGCAUCUGCUCGUUUCCCCUGCUGCUGGGACAGACGGCACUGGGAGAGGGCACAGCAGACAUGGGGGAGCUAAAGCGUUACAGAUUGCUGCUGUUCACUCGGCAGAGCCCAUCUGUCAGGGCCUUUAAAAUGCAUUCAGUCCCAAGAUGGAGGUUUCCAGUUCAAAUCAAGCGGCUUUAGUUUGAUGCUACUUAGUAGGAUCUGCUCAUAAUGAACCAAAACUUGGAUAGGCAUGUCUGCCAAAUCUAGCCAAGCAGUUCAGUGCAUUAGCAUGAGCAGCUUGCUACUUUUCCCUGCAGAGUGGAGCAAGGUGGGUAACACACCUCAUCCCUUCCUGUUCACAGCCCAGGGUUUUGUAUUAAGCCAGUAACAACGGUGGGCUUGUGCAAAAACACAAAGCUGUAAAUGAGAAUUUCCCUCACAAAUGCUCAAAUCCUGUUCUGCUACCUGGCGAAAGAGAUUUGUGACUGUGAUACCUAAGUAGGGGAGAUAUGUUAGAGUUUUGCAGAUCCUUUGCUCUUGAAUGAGAGGAGCUGUGUAGAAUUUAAGAUGUCUUAAAUUGUACACAUUUUAGCUGAUUUCAUCUUGAGUUUUCUAAGUGGAGAUAUGGCAGAAAUUUGCUAAAAAGCCAAUUGAAAUUUUGCCUGUUGGCAAAAGGCCAACAAGUAAUUAUGGUGAAGGCACCUGUUGACAAGUGAGGUUACUUAAACCCUCUUUGAUUUGAUCACUUGUCUUUGGUAAGCAGAAGGCACAUCAUCGGAAAUUCUGCUGUCUGAGGAUGACAGCAGAUUGGGGAUGUGGUUAUCUGCCUUCACUUACUCCACUCUGAACACUCCCUCUCACAGGCUGAGUGGGAUGGCCAGAGAAUAGGGAGGAUGUGGUUUCUGAAUUCUGAAUCAUGACAGUUUUCCCCCAAUACUCUUAUCUGCAGUAAUUUAAAAAUUCCAGCCUGGUAAUUAGACUGUACUUGGUCUCAGGCUCUAUGGGCUUUGACACUAGCUUCUUAAAUUUCGGGACUAACCGAAAUUUACAAAUUAAAUUUUUAAACUGAUACUCAAUUGGAAAUCAAGCUGAGCAAUAGCAUUUAGAGGUCAUUCUGUUACUUCCACUUCUGUUUGCAUUUCUUCCAGAGGAACUCUUAAGUCCCACAGUAAUGCAUUUAGUAAAACCUUGUAGUAGAGUCAGAUUCAGGCUGCACACUAGAAACAGAUAAUAUGAGUGAAAAUAUUCCAGCAAUUUUAUCUUUGCUAUUUCAACCUGUGUUUGAAUAGAUGACCCUCAGAGAUCUCUUCCAGCCCUAUUUGUUCCACUCUUCAUAAUACCUAAGGGAGCAUGGUAACUGUAAAGAGGUGGAUGUCUCUUGCUUUCAAAGAUUUAUUUCUAACUGGUAAACCAGUUAAUUACAUGUGUAGUUAAAGAAAAAAAAAUCAACCAAAUCCAACUAACCAAUGAAAGAACAAUUAAAAAAAAAAUAAAUUGUGAGGCCUCCAGAACCUUAAAUAUGUAUCUCAGAAUAGCUGAACUCUAUUUCUCUAUUUUAGACAGUAAAGAUAUGAUUAAUAUUUCUUCUCAGAUCAGGCUAGAGCACUUGGAAGGGAAAUCUGGUACUUUUGUCAGUUUUUACCCAAGUCCUUCCUGGCUAGGGGGUUCAGCUGCUGCUUGGGUCCUCUUCUGCAUCUGGGUAACAGCAAGUGAACAAAGCCUCAAGUGAUUAGCAGUGGUUCCUGCAGGACCACAAGAGGUGGCUUUUAGAGAUCUCUCAGCAGACUUCAGCUCUCCCUGGUGACAGGAUUAUCUUGGUCCCUGGUCAGGACAAAACAGGGAUGCAGUGUAUGCCACAGAUAUUCCCCAUGAGAACUUGUGCUUACAACAUGAAGUUCUGCUGCUCUAAGCACCAACUCCAGUGGUAUGUACAGGAUUAGAUAUUGGUGUAGUACCUGACCCUCGAUGUAGUUUAACACCAAACUCAAAUUCAUUCAUACAUUCAAGCUUCACUUGAUUUAAUGAUCACCUCUUCUAGUUUUUUCUCAAGUUAGCUGACACAUAUAAACCUGUUACUUCCGUGAUAUUAACCUUUUUUCUGGCUACUGUUCAGUUUAUCUCUGAAAUUCAUCUUCAGGCUUUAGACCACUUACCGUGAAAGCUGAACAAUACUAAAAUGCAGAAAUCUGACCAUCACAGUACAUCAUAAACUGCCUAUAGCUCAUGGAAAAAUCUGACAGAUGCCUUUACUUAGAAAUGCUUUGGUUUAGGUAUGUCAUUCUGUUUCCUUAAUACGUUGCUAUGAAAACAGGGUCAUGGUUUAGAAUUUAAUCUUCUCUCUAUUCCUGACUUCAGUUGUAACCUCUGUCCACGUCAAAAUUAGCUGGAACAUCAUCUUUACAGCACACACCAGGUUUGAAAGAGAUCUUUUAAUCUUUUUUUUUUUUUUUCCCUGUAAA